AGCUUAAAGGUUUUUAAUUUUAAGUAACUUCUGCCCAGUGCUUAUGUAAACGGCCGCGGUAUCCUGACCGUGCAAAGGUAGCAUAAUAACUUGCCUUUUAGUUAAAGGAUAGUAUGAAUGAAGACACGUGGAUAAAGCUGUYUCUUAUAAUGUUCUAAAAAUUAUUCUUCAGGUGAAGAAACCUGAAUUCUAUAAAAAGACAAGAAGACCCUAUCAAGCUUUAUAUUACUUUAUAUCUUAUAUAAUAUAAUAUUUGGUUGGGGCGACUAAUGGAACCAACAACCUCCAUAAAAACUAUGAAAUAUUUUUCUUACUUUUUAAAAUUUUAAUUUAAGAAAGCUACUGUAGGGAUAACAGGCUAAUAUUUUCUAAGASUUCAAAUUAAAGAAAAUGUUUGGCACCUCGAUGUUGGCUUAGGGUUCCUCCCCCUUGCAGCCGAGGAGGAAGGAAGUUUGUUCAACUAUUAAACCCCU
rnacentral:rRNA from 1 species